rnacentral:rRNA from 1 species
AAAUUUGAAAUCUGGCACCUUCGGUGUCCGAGUUGUAAUUUGAAGAAGGUAACUUUGGAGUUGGCUCUUGUCUAUGUUCCUUGGAACAGGACGUCACAGAGGGUGAGAAUCCCGUGCGAUGAGAUGUCCAACUCUAUGUAAAGUGCUUUCGAAGAGUCGAGUUGUUUGGGAAUGCAGCUCUAAGUGGGUGGUAAAUUCCAUCUAAAGCUAAAUAUUGGCGAGAGACCGAUAGCGAACAAGUACAGUGAUGGAAAGAUGAAAAGAACUUUGAAAAGAGAGUGAAAAAGUACGUGAAAUUGUUGAAAGGGAAGGGUUUGAGAUCAGACUUGGUAUUUUGUAUGUCUUGCUUUCGGGUGGGGCCUCUGCAGUUUACUGGGCCAGCAUCGGUUUGGACGGUAGGAUAAUGACAUUGGAAUGUGGCACUACUUCGGUGGUGUGUUAUAGACUUUGUUGAUACUGCCUGUCUAGACCGAGGACUGCGUCUUUGACUAGGAUGCUGGCAUAAUGAUCCUAAAC